CUACCAUGCAGUCGAGCGAUGAAGUUCCUUCGGGAAUGGAUUAGCGGCGGACGGGUGAGUAACACGUGGGUAACCUGCCUCAAAGUGGGGGAUAGCCCUCCGAAAGGAGGAUUAAUACCGCAUAAAGUUAAGCUUCCGCAUGGGAGCAUAACCAAAGGAGCAAUCCGCUUUGAGAUGGACCCGCGGUGCAUUAGCUAGUUGGUGAGGUAACGGCUCACCAAGGCCACGAUGCAUAGCCGACCUGAGAGGGUGAUCGGCCACAUUGGAACUGAGAUACGGUCCAGACUCCUACGGGAGGCAGCAGUGGGGAAUAUUGCGCAAUGGGGGAAACCCUGACGCAGCAACGCCGCGUGGGUGAUGAAGGUCUUCGGAUUGUAAAACCCUGUCUUCUGGGACGAUAAUGACGGUACCAGAGGAGGAAGCCACGGCUAACUACGUGCCAGCAGCCGCGGUAAUACGUAGGUGGCGAGCGUUGUCCGGAUUUACUGGGCGUAAAGGAUGCGUAGGCGGAUAUUUAAGUCAGAUGUGAAAUACCCGAGCUUAACUUGGGUGCUGCAUUUGAAACUGGGUAUCUAGAGUGCAGGAGAGGUAAGUGGAAUUCCUAGUGUAGCGGUGAAAUGCGUAGAGAUUAGGAAGAACACCAGUGGCGAAGGCGACUUACUGGACUGUAACUGACGCUGAGGCAUGAAAGCGUGGGUAGCAAACAGGAUUAGAUACCCUGGUAGUCCACGCCGUAAA
rnacentral:rRNA from 1 species